rnacentral:rRNA from 1 species
GUGGGGAAUAUUGGACAAUGGGCGCAAGCCUGAUCCAGCCAUGCCGCGUGAGUGAUGAAGGCCUUAGGGUUGUAAAGCUCUUUCAGUGGGGACGAUAAUGACGGUACCCACAGAAGAAGCCCCGGCUAACUUCGUGCCAGCAGCCGCGGUAAUACGAAGGGGGCUAGCGUUGUUCGGAUUUACUGGGCGUAAAGCGCACGUAGGCGGAUCGUUAAGUCGGGGGUGAAAUCCUGGAGCUCAACUCCAGAACUGCCUUCGAUACUGGCGAUCUUGAGUCCGGAAGAGGUGAGUGGAACUCCUAGUGUAGAGGUGGAAUUCGUAGAUAUUAGGAAGAACACCAGUGGCGAAGGCGGCUCACUGGUCCGGUACUGACGCUGAGGUGCGAAAGCGUGGGGAGCAAAUGGGAUUAGAUACCCGUGUAGUCC